rnacentral:rRNA from 1 species
GUACACGCUGUGACUAGCAUAUCAAUAAGCGGAGGAAAAGAAACUAACAAGGAUUCCCCUAGUAACGGCGAGUGAAGCGGGAAGAGCUCAAAUUUGAAAUCUUAAAGGGUUUCCCUUUACGAAUUGUAGUUUAAAGAAGUGUUUUCUGUUGAGGUUUUGGUAAAAGUUCUUUGGAAUAGGACAUCAUAGAGGGUGAGAAUCCCGUAUUUGACCUUUACUUUCAACUUUGUGAUACACUUUCAAAGAGUCGGAUUGUUUGGGAAUGCAGUCCAAAAUGGGUGGUAAAUUUCAUCUAAAGCUAAAUAUUGGCGAGAGACCGAUAGCGAACAAGUACCGUGAGGGAAAGAUGAAAAGAACUUUGAAAAGAGAGUUAAACAGUACGUGAAAUUGUCAAAAGGGAAGCGUUUGACACCAGUGUUGUUUUUCUGAAAAUCAAUUAAAGAACUGUUUAUGCUAAGCUGUUUAGACUUUAUCAGCUAACUGUUUAGUUUUGAGCUUUUCUUUAAUGCACUUUUCAGUUAACAAGUCAACAUCAAUUUCUUUUGCUGUAAAAAAGCUUGAGGAAGGUGGCUUGAGAUUCGUCUUAAGUGUUUAUAGCCUCUUGCCUAUGCAGUCGGAGAGAUUGAGGUCUGCAGCGUAGAUCCUUCGGGGCUAAAUGCAUUUGUGCUAAGUUAUAGCAUUUAUAGACAACUUGUUGACUAUGAUUUGUCUUGUAGCUUACUCGCUUAUGUUAUUUUACCUACGCUUAGGAUGUUGAAGUCAUCGUAUCGCGC